CGCCGGUUGCCUCCGCCGUCCCCUUCUAGAAAACCCAUUUGCUCUCUCUCUCUUUCCUCCGCGAAGCGCGGCUCUUUUUGUGGACCGCGCCUCCGCCUCCGCCGGUUUCCUCCAUCGUCGCCUCCCGGAGCCCAUCGGUGGCUUAGAUCCUGACCACGCGGCCGCCUCCGCCUACGCCGUCGCCGUCUCCUCCGAAGCCCUCCAUUGGCGAUUCGUCCUCUGCCACUUUCUCUCUAUCCCAAGAAAUGGCUCCGCUCUGCUCUCUGUGACGAACCGCGCCUCCGCGGUCGCCUCCCGCAGCCCCUUUGGAGAUCUCGGGCUUCGACUCGCCCUCUGCGUUACCUCCCGAAGCCCCAUUCUCAGGAUAGGGUUUUGUAUGACUUGAGCUUCCCGUCGUUUUUGCCCUAAAGUGAAGAUUGGUGGCUCAGAUCUCGACCACGCGACCGCCUCCGCCUACGCCGUCGCCUCCGAAGCCCCCCAUUUGGCGAUUCGUCCUCUGCCCCUCUCUCUUUGUCCCGAGAAACGGCUUUGCUCGGCUCUCUGUGACGAACCGCGCUACCAACAGUUUGGUUUCGUGAUCAAUGAGCGGCCGAGGAUCAAUAAGAACAAGCACAAGGAUCUCCUGCAUGCAUUGAAAUGUUGCUUGAAGUCUGAUGAUGCGAUUCACUAUGCACAAUAUGUUUUGAGGUGGGAAGAAAUGCCUGCUGUUGAACGUGCUCAUUUGUCGCGGGAGAAACAGGCAAUUUUUUAACUCUUCCUUUUAUUGCCAAAGUUCAAUAUCCUGAUCAUUUCUCUUGUGAGAAAUCCAUAAUAUAGGAUGUAUUUGCGAGCAAUGUACUGCAACUUAUUUGGGCUACUAUGUUAAUUUGUUGGGCUUAUCUGCAAACAAUAGACA